AUUGAACGCUGGCGGCAGGCCUAACACAUGCAAGUCGAGCGGAUGAAGAGAGCUUGCUCUCUGAUUUAGCGGCGGACGGGUGAGUAAUGCCUAGGAACCUGCCUGGUAGUGGGGGAUAACGUUCCGAAAGGAACGCUAAUACCGCAUACGUCCUACGGGAGAAAGCAGGGGACCUUCGGACCUUGCGCUAAAUGAUGAGCCUAAGUCGGAUUAGCUAGUUGGUGGGGUAAAGGCCUACCAAGGCGACGAUCUGUAGCGGGUCUGAGAGGAUGAUCCGCCACACUGGGACUGAGACACGGCCCAGACUCCUACGGGAGGCAGCAGUGGGGAAUAUUGGACAAUGGGCGGAAGCCUGAUCCAGCCAUGCCGCGUGUGUGAAGAAGGCCUUAUGGUUGUAAAGCACUUUAAGCGAGGAGGAGGCUCUUCUGGUUAAUACCCAGGAUGAGUGGACGUUACUCGCAGAAUAAGCACCGGCUAACUCUGUGCCAGCAGCCGCCGUAAAAC
rnacentral:rRNA from 1 species